rnacentral:rRNA from 1 species
UCGGGAAUUUUGGGCAAUGGGGGAAACCCUGACCCAGCAACGCCGCGUGAAGGAUGAAGUAUUUCGGUAUGUAAACUUCGAAAGAAUAGGAAGAAUAAAUGACGGUACUAUUUAUAAGGUCCGGCUAACUACGUGCCAGCAGCCGCGGUAAUACGUAGGGACCAAGCGUUGUUCGGAUUUACUGGGCGUAAAGGGCGCGUAGGCGGUGUGUCAAGUCAGUUGUGAAAUCUCCGAGCUUAACUCGGAACGGUCAACUGAUACUGUCACACUAGAGUACAGAAGGGGCAAUCGGAAUUCUUGGUGUAGCGGUGAAAUGCGUAGAUAUCAAGAGGAACACCUGAGGCGAAGGCGGGUUGCUGGGCUGAUACUGACGCUGAGGCGCGAAAGCUAGGGUAGCAAACGGGAUUAGAUACCCAUGUAGUCCCUGAGCGGGCUGGCAAGGCGCAU